rnacentral:rRNA from 1 species
GCCGCACGACUAGCUCAACCAUUUAAUCACAACCCCCAACCCCGCCCAGCCCAACCAAAAACUAAAACAUUUACCAUCCAAGUAUCAGGCGAUAGAACGGAUACAAGAAGCAAUAGAUAUAGUACCGCAAGGGAACGCUGAAAGAGAAAUUAAAUAAAAACUUAAAGUAAAAAAAAGCAAGGACUAAGCCCUGUACCUUUUGCAUCAUGAUUUAACAAGUCCCACUGGGAUAAAAGCCUUUUAACCCAGCCCCCAGAAACUAGACGAGCUAUUUUUAAGCAGCCUAUUACAGGGCAAACUCAUCUCUGUGGCAAAAGAGUGAGAAGACUUUCAAAUAGAGGUGACACGCCUACCGAGCCUAGUGAUAGCUGGUUGCUCAAUAAACGAGUCUAAGCUCCACUUUAAGCCUUAUCAAACGUAAGACCACAUAAACAUUAAAACUUAAAAGUCAUUCACAAGAGGUACAGCUCUUAUGAACCAGGAGACAACCUAAAAAAAUGGGUAAUGAUUAAACUAUUUAAGGAAAAUUGUCCCAGUGGGCCUAAUAGCAGCCACCUGUAUUAACCGCGUCACAGCGCAACCAAAUUAAACCCAAAAAUACCAACUACCUCUCAAACCCCACUAGCACAAAUGAGCCAACCUAUACACACCCUAUAGAACAAUUAAUGUUAAAACUAGUAACAAGAAAGCACCCCUUUCUCCACGCAUAAGUGUAAGCUAUAACGGACCGCCCAAUAACAAUUACCGACUGGCACUACAAAUAAACAAGCUGUCAAACUAACCGUUAACCCAACACAGGACUGCAAACGAAAGGCUAAAAGACACUGAAGGAAUUAAGCAAACAAAGCUUCGCCUGUUUACCAAAAACAUCACUUCUAGCUAACCCGACACGUAUUAGAAGCACUGCCUGCCCAGUGACAUUGAUUUAACGGCCACGGUAUUUUGACCGUGCAAAGGUAGCAUAAUCACUUGUUUUUUAAAUAAAGACUUGUAUGAAUGGCAAAACGAAAGCUUAACUGUCUCCACUGUCCAGCCAGUGAAACUGAUCUUCCUGUUCAAAAGCAGGAAUAAAAAUGUAAGACGAAAAGACCCUAUGGAACUUUAGACACAAAUCAACUAUGCCAACAGACCGCAUAUGCCAUGAUCCACAUCUUUAGUUGGGGCGACUGCGGAGAACAAAAAUCCUCCGUGAUAUCUACUAAAUUACACAAAACUAAGUACCAAGACACUUGAAACAGCUGAUCCAAUAAAAUUGAUCAACGAACUAAGCUACCCUAGGGAUAACAGCGCAAUCUUCUUACAGAGGCCAUAUCGACAAGAAGGUUUACGACCUCGAUGUUGGAUCAGGAUAUCCAGACAGUGUAGCCGCUGUCACAGGUUUGUUUGUUCAACAAUUAAAAUCCUACGUGAUCUGAGUUCAAACCGGAGUAAUCCAGGUCAGUUUCUACCUACAAAUAAAUUUCUUCCAGUACGAAAGGACCGAAAAAAUAGGGCCAAUAUUUAAUACAAGCCCUAAGCACAAAACAUGACAACAACUAAACGCCAAUGCUACAUCAGCCCCAAAACAAUGG